rnacentral:rRNA from 1 species
UACGGAGGGUGCAAGCGUUAAUCGGAAUUACUGGGCGUAAAGCGUGCGUAGGCGGUUCGUUAAGUCAGAUGUGAAAGCCCUGGGCUCAACCUGGGAACUGCAUUUGAAACUGGCGGACUAGAGUUUAGUAGAGGGGAGUGGAAUUUCAGGUGUAGCGGUGAAAUGCGUAGAUAUCUGAAGGAACACCAGUGGCGAAGGCGACUCCCUGGACUAGAACUGACGCUGAGGUACGAAAGCGUGGGUAGCAAACAGG